rnacentral:sRNA from 1 species
GCUGGGCGAGGUGUCACAUGUCUGUAAUCCCAGCAGCUUGGGAGGCUGAGGCAGGAGGAUCAUUGAGUUCAAAGCCAGCCUCAGCAAUGGGCACUAAGUAACUCAGUGAGACCCUGUCUCUA